AAAAGAUCUGUCUGAAAAGAACUAAACUGUAAAAAAUGUAUUGCCCAAAAUAAAAAAUUGGAGCUGCUCAACGAAUAGACUCAUACACUAUAUUGAAGAACAUGUUUUCUCUGAAUUUCGAAGAGAGAAAGAAGGAAAGAAGCAAUGAUCGAUGUAAUCAAAUCUGAACCUAUAUCUUCUAGGACAAUUGGGAAGGUCAUAGUUCACUCGCUUGUGCUUUUGAGCAUUGCAGACCACUACAAUAGAGUUGCAAGAGACACAAGAAUGUUGUUGGGGUUUUGUCUGGAACUUAAUUUAAAGAUUUUGAAGCAGCUAUUGCAGCCGUGGCGAAAGAAGUAGAAGCCUUCACAUGAGCUUCAGAGACAUUCUCAAAGUCAAACAUUAAUAACAGCAUUAAGGAGAACUUGUUAGACAUCGAGUUGUUACAUCUGCUACCACAAAACUUGCAAUACCUAUUCCCAACAGGUAUAUAUCCUUUGCUAUUGGGUGCCCAGUUGAAGGAGCGAUUUCACCUCCAAAAGUGGCAUAUGUAGCAAAGGAACUUCAUGACAUGGGCAAUGAGCAUAAGGAAGUCUAGAGGAGAUCUUUUCCCAAAAAAGGUAGUUUAGAUACAACUUCCAUCAUAAUGGGUUCUCAUACUAGAGUGGUUUACUUAAAGUUUAUGUCUUCACUAUCUUUUUCCUCUAUAGAAACUCAGUAUAUGACUGACAGAGUAAUCAGUGGCGUAGAAUAUUUGCACUUUAACCGUUUUCUACACAGAGACGUAAGGAUUAAACAGACACUGAUUUAUUAAUGAGCUUUCCUUGUAUGACCUCUUAUAAUAUGGAGUACUUCGAUUUAUUAAUGAUCUUUCCUUGUAUGAAGAUAUUAAUGCGAAUUGAGCUUAAACAAAGAAGUGGGGGUUCACAUAGUGGACGAUAACUUGUUUAGCAUAGUAGUUGCUAUUUUUUAUUUAAGAAAGCAUUAGUAAGCUCUAUUCGUUCCCUCUUAUGUUGCACUGUCACAAAAUUUUAAUCCAGCAGACACAACUCUAAUUGGCUAUGUCAUCAGUCAUAACUUCUUAAGGAUCUUCCAAUUUCAAUUCAUCUACGUUACAGUAAGUUUAUCAAACAUAUAUCCCAAAGAUGAAGAUGCUCAUGCGGUUAGAGUUGAUGACAUGACCAAGUUAUUAUAUUUGCAUGCGCCUGGCGUCUUGCAGAAUUUGGCUUUAAGAUAUGAAAUAAACGAAAUAUAUGUAAGUUUAUGGUUAAAUUUCUGUAGAUUAGUGAGAGGAAGAAAUGAAUUGUUAUAUCUAUGGGUUGUUCUAUCGUGAUAUGAGAUUUUGACGGACUUAUAAUGGAAGUGUUACAUUCCAUCAAUCCAUGCCAAAAGUUUCCGCGUCUAUAUGAUCUCCACAUGGUGGAACAAUACAAGUGAGCACCGCUUGGUGAGUUAAGUCCUCAUGUCUCCAUUAUUGUUGAUUCUACUUACAGGUACUCCUGUUUCAAAUUCCACUACCCAUGAUUUACCCCCAAACACUAUACAAUUGUCACUAAGAUUAGAAUAAGUUCAAUAAGGCAGAUGAUAAAUGAAGGUAAAAGUAAUUUAAUAUUGUUCAGCAGUGAAAGUGGGCUAGUCAAACUGAAACUAAUAAAAUGUUUAUGAAAUACCUUGCUUACAUUGGUAUCCAUAGAAGCACUGGAGGUCGAACUAAGGGGAAGAAAUUUAUAGAUUUAACUGUAUGAUGUUGAUGAGUCGAGCAUGUUUAAACUCAUUUUCCCCUUUAACUUUCAAGGGUAGGUAAGCCAUUGGCAAAAUUUUGUUUUGAGGCUUUAAUACUGUAUAACAUACAUUAUUUUUACAUACUGAAGCUUUGUGGCACAAAUGCUGCAUUUGGUAUGGUGCUUUCUACAUGUUGAAAAUCUGAAGUACAUGACCGGAGACCAUUUCUUGAUAAAAUAUAUUAAGUAAAUAUGGUACUUCAACUCUAUUAGCUCUACAGAGGAAGAAAUAAAUAUGCUAAUUUUGUAGCACAUCUCUGAUUUAAAUGUGUGGAUUGAAUGAAACAUGAGAUACAUUAAAAGACAAAGUUUAAGACAAAAUGAAAGAAAUGAAACUAAUUGAAGUGAGAAUCUUAUUGUAAUGUACGAAAUUUUUGAGAAAGGUAACCUAUUACUGUUAUUAUGUUAAGUAUAAUGAUUUUUAUUACUUUUAUAGAUACCUAUGACAAAAUAAUGGUAUAGAGUAGAUGUCUGUGAAUGUUCUGAAAAAAUGGCGUAGUAAUAUCAACAUAGAUUUUCUGAAGUGCAUUCAAAAGAGACAAUUCUUGUUUCUAAUUGAUUCGCUAGCAUUUUUCUAUGUUAUAGACUUACAAAAAUCUUGUGAAGGUGUCACCAUGCUAUAUGAUAGCAUAUCAUUGUACUUUCUUUCUCAUUUACUUGAAUAUAAUAAUCUUGAAAUAACUGAUUUCAUGUUUAAUAAGUAUAAUUCAUUAGGGAUGAGGGAGCUUCAAUCUAAAGGAUCAUCAGUCAUUUUCUUCUACCUUCUUACUUGUUUUGUUAUUCAUUUAAACUUGAUUCAUGUCUAGUCAAAUCCAGUACUUGAAGCAUUUGGGAAGGCCAAAACAAUAAGAAAUAACAAUUCAAGGUGAGAUAUUGUUCCACUUAUGCAUCCAAUUAAGAAGUGAGUCAUUUAGUUGUUUUGGACAAUGUUUUCUUCUGAAUGCUUAUACUUGUGUUGUUAAAGUCAUUUUGGUAAAUUUAUGGAGAUUCAGUUUGAUAAAAAUUGAAGAAUGUCGGGUGCAGCUUGUAGAACUUACCUCCUAGAAAGGUCUCGAGUUUGCCAGGUUUCAGAUCCGUAAUGCACCAAUCAUUGUUUCUACCAUCUAUAUGCAGCACCCAAGGAGGUCAUUGGAUUUCAAACCUUCUCUCUUUUUUUAAAAUAUUUUUCAUCUCUUACUAUAAACUUAUUUUAAAGUCUUGAUGUCCCUCUUAAUAGUUUCUCUAAUCUUAACAGGAGCUUUAAAAGUAUAAGUUUGGAGAUCCUAAAAAUUUAACUAUCUUAAUCAAUAGAGUUGUUUUGAACUUGUAGUUGUCACUAAUGCUCAAGAUUAUCGGGCAAAAAGGAGGUCCAUGGAUGUUGUUGGCUUUAGUGAGAAAGAGCAGGCAAUGCUCUGUUUGCUUUAGUUUGUGCUGCAGAUUUUAUUUUGAUUAAGAGUCUAAGAUGUCACUACUCACUUAUUUUUGAAGAAGCAAUUUUUAGAGUAGUGGUUUCUGUUCUUCAUCUUGGAAAUCUUCAGUUUACAGAGGGCAAAGAAACUGAUUCAUAAAUGCUAAAGAUGACAAGUCUAAGUUCCAUCUUCAGACUAUUGCAGAGCUUUUGAUGUGUGAUCUUAAGGAUUUGGAAGAUGCACUAUUAAAACGUGUAAUGGUCACACUUGAAGAAGUAAUAAACAUAAGUCUUUAUCAUGAUGCUUCAACAGUCUGUAGAGAUGGGAUUUGUAGAACAUUAUAUUCUCGCUUUUUGACUGAUAUGAUUCUAUUGUCUCAACCAGCUUGUUUGA